rnacentral:tRNA from 1 species
GACAAUUUGUCCGAGUGGUUAAGGAGAAAGACUAGAAAUCUUUUGGGCUCUGCCCGCGCAGGUUCAAAUCCUGCAGUUGUCG